UUUGGUGUAGAUUCCCUCCGCUCCAGCAGCACCUCUUUUGGAUCAUGUCACACAAAAGCAGGCAUGGACCGCAUGACCAGAAAGCAAGGCAUAUAUGCUGCCAGCGUCGAUGGGUGAUCCGGCUGUGACUGCCAUUUAAUUGUGCAUCCCAGUCCCACGCUUCAGUGCGACUUCGAUCUUCUUCUCCCUUUGUUUUUCAAUCUCAGGUGAUCUUGACACGGUAUGUUUUUUGAGAGAAAAGACUGUUGAUUCCAUCAUUUGAUUAGAUAGCAAGAAAUAAUUGUACAAAGGACGCAAAGCAAGGGCCCUUGGGAAGAAGAGCGGGAAGAAAAAUAAAUAAAUAAAAAGCAAGCGAAAGAACCCUAAUCUUCCGGGUCCGAGACACGGUAUGUUUUGGUAUUGCGGUAGACACUUAACAAAUAAUAUCGUCAUAUCCAUCGAAAUCUAGUUUUUAAAACCUUCAUGAAAACGGUUAUGUACCAAAACCUUAUUGCCUUCAAAACGCAUACGUCGUCGAUCUCGCAAGCUAAUUGACAAACCCACAAAACUGCGUUGGAGAGAGGUUUGAAGCACUUGCUCUUGUUUCCACAAAUAAGAUACAAUACCAAAAACAGAACCAUUAUUCUAAUCUUACAUGCAGAGGCCAGGGGUUUUUCCUCCUUUUAGAAAAAAUAAAAAGAAAAAUUCUAAUCUUACAAAGUUGCUUCUAUAUCUCGACGCAUUAGCAUUUUCUUCAUAUUAUUAUUUUUCCAUUCUUGAUGGAGCACGAACAUAAUUUUGUUAAGGACUGUGUGUGUUGGAUC
rnacentral:lncRNA from 1 species